GAAGACGAAGAAGAAGAAGUUACUCCAGCAGCUUGUUUGGACAAAAACGCGGAUUUUAUCAUGUCUUUGAUUGAUUUUUGCCGUUUUUGCAACGCGAACAUGAGGAAUAAAGGCACCUUGUGCAACACCAUGUUGAUCUUUGAACCAAGUCGAAGAUCUAAUGAGAAAACCGUGUUCGACAGGUUAGCGGACAUCGGCUGCCACUUAGCCAAGGAUGAUGAGUCCAAGAUCAAGCGGGUUUGUAGGACGUGUUUUCGGCAUCUAAAGCGCAUGGAGGCCAGCUUCAACACGUUGAGGCGAUGGAGAGACAGAGAGGCGGAGCCGCCGGAAGAGGAGCCCUCACCUGGACGCCAGGGAGACUUUACGCCAGGUGUGAAACUACCGAGACCGCCCCAAGACAGACUACGACAAAGUUCUGCAGGCGUUUGCCAAAGACGAAGAGCUGGGAAACAUCUUUAAGGACAUUUAUGGAUUCAUCCGUGCAGCAUUUCAAAAAGGAUGAUUUGGACGGGUCGGAUUGUCCGACGUAAAGAUGGCAUUAGUCUGUAUCGAAAUUCAGCUUCCCGGUUCACCUACACAGACUGGAGACGUGCAGGACUGCAGUAACCUCCAGAAGAGAUGAGGACAGCCUGUCUGUGGCCUCUCAGGAUGCUACACAAGUGUUAUUAAUCAGGCCUGGGUGUGGCCAGAGAAGGUGAACUCAGGUGUGAUAAACAACAGUAAAGUUAUUAUUGUUGGUUUGGGUUCAUUUUCUCCAUUAAUAAUCAAAACCAUCUAAAAAUUGCAAUAUAUCUUUACUUGUGUU